rnacentral:miRNA from 1 species
CAGCAGACACAUUCCAGCCAAUCAGCAGGAGACCCUCCCUCCCAGACCCUCCCACCUCCUGGACAGCAUCCAUUUUACAUCCAUUGUGAAGCUGCAUUCUUAGUGAGCUGUCCAGGAGGUGGGAGGGUCUGGGAGGGAGGGUCUGCUGCUGAUUGGCUGGAAUGUAUCUGCUG